rnacentral:misc_RNA from 1 species
ACACUGAUAUUUCAAGAUGUCUGAAUUUGACGCUUUCGACAGUGAGCCUCCAGCACAAAAUACCGAAGAGGACCCAGCCGCAGCAUUUCUGGCCAGGGAACAGUCUGAAUUAGCGGGGUUAGAGGACGACAACGUCCCACAAGAUAAUGGAGGGGGAGAGCAGUUUGAUAUGUUUGAUGAUGGAGAACCCCAAAUGAUGAAUGGAGCACCAGAUUUCAUGGGUGAAAACCAAUUUGAAGAAAGUCAGGUACAGAAUAAUCACCUCAGUGACCCUUGAUACAUACCCUUUGCUGUUUCUGUGAAUGGUACCUUAAAGUUAUUAAACAAUACUUUCAAUAAAAUGAGCACAAAAUUGAUUUUAUUUGCUGUUCAUUUUAAUAAUAAUAACAAUGUUUUAGGGUUUAUGUACAGAAACAAUGAUCAUGACUGAAAUUAUACUAUUGAAUUGAUUUAACGUGAGGUUGAAGCUCUUUGCUUUUUGUAGUCAAAUGGACCGAGUGACGCAUACUCUUUGUUUUUUGUAGUCAAAUGGACCAAGUGACGCAUACUCAGCCAUCUCCUCUGUAGACAAAGAGAGGGCAGAACCCGAGAAACUCAGGAUCUGGAGAGAGGAACAAAAGAUGAGACUGGAGAAGAAAGAUGCUGAGGAGGCACAGAAGAAGGAGGCUUGGAGAGAAGCGGCCAAGAAGGAGCUAGAUGAUUGGUACAAGCAUCACAAUGAACAAGUCCAGAAGACCCGGGAGACUAACAGGACGGCCGAGGAAGCAUUCAAGAAAGAUAGGGAUACCACACAGCCCGGGGGAGAGUGGGAGAAAAUCUGCAGAAUAUGCGAGUUCAACCCCAAAAAUUCCAAAAACACCAAGGACGUGUCGCGGCUACGCUCCAUUCUCCUUCAGCUGAAGCAGACGCCAUUAGUGAGGUGAAGGGGGCCGUGUUGUUUACAGGGAGUGCCCUUGUGUGUUGUGAAUGAUCGACGUUAGAGAUUCCGUUGUCAGUGUAUCAUAGACAUUACAACAAGACUGGAUUUGUAUUUAUGUUGCCAUUAUUAUUUUCCUUGAUUAUUUGAAUUACUCACUUCAAUUAAUACAGACUUAGAAAUUAAUUCAUAACUAGAAAUUAGCAAGAUGUUUAGUCCUUGAAUUUUUUCCCUUUCAUUAUUCAUUCAGUGUCAAUAUAUGUAAAAACGGAAACAAAAGUAAAAAGAACUGUCUGCAAUGAAGUUUACUAGCAUUUUUAAAUUAUAUACAUGUUGAAAUACAUGAUUGUGACUGU